CUUUCCUACGGGAGGCAGCAGUGAGGAAUAUUGGUCAAUGGGCGCGAGCCUGAACCAGCCAAGUCGCGUGAGGGAAGACGGUCCUAUGGAUUGUAAACCUCUUUCGUCGGGGAGCAAAAGACGCCACGCGUGGCGUUCCGAGAGUACCCGAAGAAAAAGCAUCGGCUAACUCCGUGCCAGCAGCCGCGGUAAUACGGAGGAUGCGAGCGUUAUCCGGAUUUAUUGGGUUUAAAGGGUGCGCAGGCGGAAGAUCAAGUCAGCGGUAAAAUUGAGAGUCUCAACCUCUUCGAGCCGUUUAAACGGGG
rnacentral:rRNA from 1 species